UGGAGACGCCCGAAGCCGAUUAUCUAACCUUUUGGAAGAAGUCGUCGAAGGGGGAAUCAAUAACUGGGGUGAAGUCGUAACAAGGUAGCCGUAUCGGAAGGUGCGGCUGGAUCACCUCCUUUCUAAGGAGA
rnacentral:rRNA from 1 species